AAUCAACGCUGGCGGCGUGCCUCAGACAUGCAAGUCGAACGAUUAAAGCUCUCUUCGGAGAGUGCAUAGAGUGGCGUACGGGAGAGUAACACGUAAGUAAUCUACCCUCGGGUGGGGAAUAACUUAAGGAAACUUAAGCUAAUACCGCAUAAUGCAGCGGCUCCAUAUGGAGACAGUUGUUAAAGCAUCUAUGCGCCUGGGGAGGAGCUUGCGGCAGAUUAGCUAGUUGGUAAGGUAACGGCUUACCAAGGCAACGAUCUGUAGCCGGUCUAAGAGGACGGUCGGUCUCACUGACACUGAAUAACGGGUCAGACUCCUACGGGAGGCAGCAGUCGGGAAUUUUGGGCAAUGGGCGAAAGCCUGACCCAGCAACGCCGCGUGAAGGAUGAAGUCUUUCGGGAUGUAAACUUCGGAAAUAUGGGAAGAAUAAAUGACGGUACCAUAUCUAAGGUCCGGCUAACUACGUGCCAGCAGCCGCGGUAAUACGUAGGGACCAAGCGUUGUUCGGAUUUACUGGGCGUAAAGGGUACGUAGGCGGCGCUGCAAGUCAAUUGUGAAAUCUCCGGGCUUAACUCGGAACGGCCAAUCGAUACUG
rnacentral:rRNA from 1 species